GUAAGAUCCCUGAAAGAUGAUCAGGUUGAUAGGUCAGAGAUGGAAGCGUGGCGACACGUGGAGUUGACUGAUACUAAUCGAUCGAGGACUUAACCUA
rnacentral:rRNA from 1 species